UUAAGUCAGGCAACGAGCGAGACCCGUGCCCACUGUUACCAGCAUGUCCUCCGGGACGAUGGGUACUCUGUGGGGACCGCCGGUGUUAAAUCGGAGGAAGGUGCGGGCCACGGUAGGUCAGUAUGCCCCGAAUUUCCCGGGCUACACGCGGGCUACAAUGAAUGGGACAAUGGGUCCCUACCCUGAAAAGGGCUGGUAAUCUCACAAACCCAUCCGUAGUUCGGAUCGAGGGCUGUAACUCGCCCUCGUGAAGCUGGAAUCCGUAGUAAUCGCGUUUCAAUAUAGCGCGGUGAAUACGUCCCUGCUCCUUGCACA
rnacentral:rRNA from 1 species